rnacentral:lncRNA from 1 species
GUAGAAAAUGGUUGGUUGAUUUAGGUGCUGAGAAUACAGUCCAGUGGUCCAGCACUUGCCUAGCACUCUUAAUUGUGAAAGGAAGGAAAGAAGAGAGGGUUAGACAGAAGGAAUGGGUAGAACUAUUAGUAUCAGAAUGUAGAACUCUUAAAUUCCAACUACAUGAACUAGACAAAAGGGCAAUGGGUUCAUUAUUAUAGAACUGGAUUUGUUCUGUGUGUUCAUGGUUUCUCCCCCCCCCCCCCCCAAACCCAACAACAGUUAAUUACUUUCUGUUCCAGAGGGGUAAGGGGUGUGUGUAUGUGAGAGAGACAGACAGACAGACAGGCAGGUGUCAUGCACUGAAACAGCAGCAAAGCAUAUAACCUUUCAUAUUUCUAUAGGUUGGAUUAGUAUGUUUCUACACUAAUAAACAUUAGGUGUAAAAGUAAAUUUAAGAUGUUAAAUUUUAAAAUUAGAGACGUUCUAAUUUUCUCUUAUCUGAAUUUGGAGGCAAGUCUGUACAAAGGAUUUUAUCAACAAACACAUUUUAAUACAUUUUGGAAUGAUCAUAAUAUGUAAGUCCCUGGUGAUAACUGAAUAAGUGGUAAAAUAAUGUUGCCUUCACCUGAGGAACCUUAAGGUGAGUGCCAUUUGGAAGCACAAAUGAAUGAGUGGUAAAGUGAGCUUCUCUAAGAGGGAUCAUGGUACAGAUACAGCAGACAACCAAGAGCUACACAGAUGCAGGGGCUUCUGACGAGAGCCUCCGUAUGCAUAGGGGAAUGUGUGAUGGUCAGUGCUAAGUAGUGAAUGAGCUCAUUUGAAUUCCUGAUUUCUGCCAGGCAGGAUGCAGAGUAUUUACAGCCACUCAACCUUUAUGACUACCAUUUACCAUAAACAUUGGGUUUCAGGUAUUAAGGGCUUAAGUGCUCUAGAUCCCAGAUUAUAAAUGAGGCUGAAUCCAGUUCAAUUUGUCUUUCUAUAAAUACCUGGUGAGUCAUUCCAGAAGAAGCAAGGCCCAGUUUUCUCUUGAGUUCCUGUCUGUGUUUGUAGAAAAGUCUGUUUUUUUAGAAAAGAGUCUAUAAGAUUGACUCUUACUAUCCAGUCCUUUGAGUUACUGGAGAGUGUAAAUGUAAAGAUAUAAGGAAGUAUUUCCUUAGUUAUAGGCAUCUAUAUUUUUGUUUUUGUUAAUGUUUUGGUUUUAAUUUUGAGAAGGGGUCUCAAAAUAGCCUACUCAGUUUAUUUCGUACCUUAAACUUCUGAUCUUCUUGCCUUGAUUAUAGGCCAGUGUUGAUGAACCCAGAUUUUCCCUAAGAACUUAAGAACAAAGCUACUAAUAAUGUCUUAGAAAUUUUAUUUUCAUAAACUUUUUUUGUGGUGCUGGACAUGGAACCCAGAGUCUCCUUCAGGCUAAGUUUUCUGUCCCUGAGCUAUAGCUCUCUUAGUUAUUUGUAGAUUCUGAGACAGUUCCACUAAGUGUCUUGAUCUGGCCUGAAAAUUAGAAUUCUUGGGAGACUCUCUGGUUUACAAACUAGUCCCUCAGCUUCUCAUAAGGCUGUUGGAGCCUGGCUCGCUGAGCCUACUGCUAGUUUCUUGUUCUAACCUGCAGUUUUUAAUUUGGUAGUAAACAAGAAUAAGGAAACAACUAUUUUUAUUUUGUGAAGUUUAAUUUGUCAACUUCUUGAAGUAUAUUAUCAAGUGCGUUUUAAAAUAUUUUUCUUUUGUUAAUUUGUGAUUUCACUAUUCAGUCUCUACUGAGCGCAGUAUAACCAAAACAGGAAAAGAUAAACCAGACAGCUCUGCUCUAAAGCAAAGAGCUUUCUGGAAAUGUUGAUGGUUUUCUCAUUUUUGCAUGUAUUUUUAUUAAAAUGUAUUGUGCAUAUGUGUGCAUGGGGACGGAUAUAUGCUGGGGCAGAUGUAUGGAAGGCAGAGGAUCUCCUGAGGACAGCCUGGGGACAUUGGUUUUCUCUGCACCUGCGCAUGCAGCAUUCUGGGGUCAGUGCGCUUUCCGGGCACACAGCGGUGCUUUCUACUGCGAAGCCGCCUCACCGUUCCUGCUCCUCCACAGUGAUGCGCGUGCGUGGCAGGAGGAUUUCAGCCAGCAGCUACCACCAUUGAUUACUCAUAAAUCUCAGUAGUUUUCUGCAUAUGAUGUUCUUUGCAGUAUUUCAUUUUCCUGUUCUUUAAAAAAAGUAUGUCUGUGUUAGAUCAGUAAGGAGGUAUCUUUAAUUAUGAAAUAAGUCACUUUGAUUUGAGCUGACUCAUGACUAUAUUAACUCUUAGUACUGGAACCUCAAGUUAGAGAUUGUUAUUGGAAAUGUGGAUUGAGACAUUUUCUGUUGUAAUUUUGUUUGUUACACAUUUUUGUGAUGGUAUAUUUGUAAUAGUUAAUUAUUUUAUACCAGUUUAUAAAUUUGAUUUUAUGAUGAAUUUGACAAGUUGAGUUUUUAAAAAAUUCCUUUUCCUCCAAUAUAUUAACUUUGCGGUUUUGGUGUUCCUGGGCAAUUUUAAGCUAGGUUCUUUAAUUUAC